UGAGGAAUAUUGGUCAAUGGGCGAGAGCCUGAACCAGCCACGUCGCGUGAAGGAAGACUGACCUUACGGUUUGUAAACUUCUUUUGUAGAGGGGUAAUGGCAGAUACGUGUAUUUGCGUGAAAGUACUCUACGAAUAAGCAUCGGCUAACUCCGUGCCAGCAGCCGCGGUAAUACGGGGGAUGCGAGCGUUAUCCGGAAUUAUUGGGUUUAAGGGGUGCGCAGGUGGCUAAUCAGGUCAGUGGUGAAAAGCUAUGGCUCAACCAUGGUCUUGCCAUUGAAACCGUAUAGCUAGAGAGGAGACGAGGUAGGCGGAAUGUGUGGUGUAGCGGUGAAAUGCAUAGAUAUCACACAGAACUCCGAUUGCGAAGGCAGCUUACCAGGCUUUAUCUGACACUUAGGCACGACAGCGUGGGGAUCAAACAGG
rnacentral:rRNA from 1 species